GGAUCCAGACUUUGAUUCUGGCUCAGGAUGAACGCUAGCUACAGGCUUAACACAUGCAAGUCGAGGGGCAGCAUGGUCUUAGCUUGCUAAGGCCGAUGGCGACCGGCGCACGGGUGAGUAACACGUAUCCAACCUGCCGUCUACUCUUGGACAGCCUUCUGAAAGGAAGAUUAAUACAAGAUGGCAUCAUGAGUUCACAUGUUCACAUGAUUAAAGGUAUUCCGGUAGACGAUGGGGAUGCGUUCCAUUAGAUAGUAGGCGGGGUAACGGCCCACCUAGUCUUCGAUGGAUAGGGGUUCUGAGAGGAAGGUCCCCCACAUUGGAACUGAGACACGGUCCAAACUCCUACGGGAGGCAGCAGUGAGGAAUAUUGGUCAAUGGGCGAGAGCCUGAACCAGCCAAGUAGCGUGAAGGAUGACUGCCCUAUGGGUUGUAAACUUCUUUUAUAAAGGAAUAAAGUCGGGUAUGCAUACCCGUUUGCAUGUACUUUAUGAAUAAGGAUCGGCUAACUCCGUGCCAGCAGCCGCGGUAAUACGGAGGAUCCGAGCGUUAUCCGGAUUUAUUGGGUUUAAAGGGAGCGUAGAUGGAUGUUUAAGUCAGUUGUGAAAGUUUGCGGCUCAACCGUAAAAUUGCAGUUGAUACUGGAUAUCUUGAGUGCAGUUGAGGCAGGCGGAAUUCGUGGUGUAGCGGUGAAAUGCUUAGAUAUCACGAAGAACUCCGAUUGCGAAGGCAGCCUGCUAAGCUGCAACUGACAUUGAGGCUCGAAAGCGUGGGUAUCAAACAGGAUUAGAUACCCUGGUAGUCCACACGGUAAACGAUGAAUACUCGCUGUUUGCGAUAUACAGCAAGCGGCCAAGCGAAAGCGUUAAGUAUUCCACCUGGGGAGUACGCCGGCAACGGUGCAACUCAAAUGAAUUGACGG
rnacentral:rRNA from 1 species